AGUUGCUGUUGCCGUGGGAAUAAAACAUGGCGGUAAAUGCUGCUGCCAUUAAAAGUUCAGAAAUACAUCCUUCUGACCAACCUCUGUUGAGACAUACGAUGCAGUUCCUCAGUAGCUUUUUAGGACAAUAAAUCACAUUAUAUGUGAGUGGCCAUUCAAAGGUGUAUUGUGGGAAUUAAAAUCAAUGCAUUAAUGCGAUGAAUUAUAUGUUCAUUGCAUGCUUAAGCAAACUUACCCCCCUUAAGUUUGGUGUCAGUGUGGCUCAACAUAGACAUAUAAGGUAAAUACACAGACUAAUCUGCAUAAAGUGUGUUACCUACAAGAGAUGCCGGUCCCUUGGCUCUGUAAUUGAGGAAUGGACCGGAACCCUGACUAUAAAUCUUACAGAUGAGGCUGUUUGAACCCUACACUUUAGUUAAUGUUAAUAAAUUCUGGCGCAGUCCCUAAGGUCAGUGUAAUUGCUCUGCAUAAAUGGGCAAGAGGCUAAAAGUCAGCUGCUGGAGUUGAAAGGAGGAAGAGUUUGCAGGGAAAUGAUUCAAACUAAUGAGCUUGGAUGUCAAGACCUUACUGAUUCAGGGAUCAGCCCUAGUUGUUCUUGAAAUAGAUACUCUGACUUUAUUAUUAGGUUUAAGGCUGAAAAGAAAUCUGUAAAAAAUGACUUAGGUAGAAGACAUUAUGACUAGUGUUGAUUUUGUUUCGGUGUAGAGUGAGUUCAUCAAGAACAGUCAUCAAGGCAACAUAGUUCAUACAAUAUACACAACACUGCACAGCAGUUAACACAGAUGGGUCACUUUGUUUAACUGGGUGUUUUUAAUAUCACAUUCACAGGUAAAAGCAGAAAAGAAACUUUAUUUUUAACACUGACACUUGUUGGAUGUCACUCUGAUUCUAUCUUUUGGUCAACAUGCCAUUUUGUUAUACCAAACAAGGAAAGUUUGUGAGGAAUUACCCUGCUCAUAUCAAAAGUCAUCUGACCCUUGCUAUUCUUCUAAUUUUGAUCGUGAAUAACAAACAAUAACCCAGUUUUAAUGAAUGGCUGGCUUUAAUUCUUGUAUUAUGGCUGCCCACCCUUUAUUUUUGGAGGGUUAUUUGUUAUCAGAGCGAGGUUAUCUAUCUUGCUUUGUCAGGGUUGUUGGCAAAAGGAAGCUACUGUAUUUUAUAUAGUACGAUUAUAGCCUGUGGUCAUUAAUGACCUUAACACUGAUGACCUGUGCAGCUUGUGACACAUUAAUAAUAAUUUUCUUGGACUUGUUGAACGGUCAGUCUGACACAGAUAGCUGCUCAGCACUGUUUUUAUCUCCUUGAAACAACCUAAAGUAAACUUUGUAACCCAGCAACACUCCAAAUAGUACUCAAUUGAUAAAGAGGAAAUGACAAUGAGAUAUUUAGGUGAAACUCUCUAUUUUUAUUCGUUUAAAACCCAAUGACUGUAAAAAAAAACAUGGGUGUAGUCUCAGUAACGAGCCUCAUGGAGCCAAAACAUGUUGGUUGCCAUACUUGUAAUCCUGACACCAACUAACAUCUGACUACUUAAAAAAAACUCAGGCGUGGCAUUGGAUUGGGCCUUUAUCCCACUGACAACCAACUACAACACAACCACUUGUCAGUCAGAUUAGCCACGAUCGAUCGAUUUUUCCAAACUUUUUAAUACAUCUUAAAGAAAACUGAGAAACAAUGAGUGACUGAGACUUGGACGAUGUUUGUUAGGCUGUAGACAUGUUUCAUUGUAACUUG